AACGAACGCUGGCGGCAGGCUUAACACAUGCAAGUCGAACGGGUGUAGCAAUACAUCAGUGGCAGACGGGUGAGUAACACGUGGGAACCUUCCUAGGGGUACGGAACAACUCAGGGAAACUUGAGCUAAUACCGUAUACGUCCGUGAGGAGAAAGAUUUAUCGCCCUUAGACGGGCCCGCGUCGGAUUAGGUAGUUGGUGGGGUAACGGCCUACCAAGCCUACGAUCCGUAGCUGAUCUGAGAGGAUGAUCAGCCACACUGGGACUGAGACACGGCCCAGACUCUUACGGGAGGCAGCAGUGGGGAAUCUUGGACAAUGGGCGAAAGCCUGAUCCAGCCAUGCCGCGUGAGUGAAGAAGGCCUUAGGGUUGUAAAGCUCUUUUGCCAGGGACGAUAAUGACGGUACCUGGAGAAUAAGCCCCGGCAAACUUCGUGCCAGCAGCCGCAGUAACAC
rnacentral:rRNA from 1 species